CGACUCCCUCCCGGCAAAGGCUAACCACCAGUCGGAAGCAAGUCUUGCAUGGGGGACGGUAACGUACUUCGUGAAGCGUAGACAGCGGGUGCUGAAGCCGCGUGAUUGAGUCUCGAAAUACCUUUGUCGCUGGUGUCUUCGCCUUUGUUAUAGCGGGGGCAGUACCGGGCUGACCGUUACGGUGAGGUCAGUCGGGCCGGCCGGGAUCUGAGAGCG
rnacentral:ncRNA from 3 species